rnacentral:rRNA from 1 species
GCGAGAAAGGGCUUCGGCCCCGGUAAAGCGGCGCACGGGUGAGUAACACGUAGGUAAUCUGCCUCUUGGCGGUGGAUAACCUUCCGAAAGGAGGGCUAAUACAGCAUAAGACCACGCGGUCGUGAGACUGUGGGGUAAAAGCCGGCCUCUUCAAGAAAGCUGGCACCAGGAGAUGAGCCUGCGGCCCAUCAGGUAGUUGGUAGGGUAACGGCCUACCAAGCCGAAGACGGGUAGCUGGUCUGAGAGGAUGAUCAGCCACACUGGAACUGAGACACGGUCCAGACUCCUACGGGAGGCAGCAGUGGGGAAUCUUGCGCAAUGGGCGAAAGCCUGACGCAGCGACGCCGCGUGAGUGAUGAAGGCCUUCGGGUUGUAAAGCUCUGUGGAGGGGGACGAAUAGGGGUCGUCGAAUAGACGGCCCGAUGACGGUACCCCUUUAGCAAGCACCGGCUAACUCUGUGCCAGCAGCCGCGGUAAGACAGAGGGUGCAAACGUUG